rnacentral:rRNA from 1 species
UACGUAGGGGGCAAGCGUUGUCCGGAAUCAUUGGGCGUAAAGCGCGUGUAGGCGGUUUCGUAAGUCUGCUGUGAAAGUCGGAGGCUCAACCUUCGAAAGCCGGUGGAUACUGCGGAACUAGAGUGCGGAAGAGGCAAGUGGAAUUCCUGGUGUAGCGGUGAAAUGCGCAGAUAUCAGGAGGAACACCAACGGCGAAGGCAGCUUGCUGGGACGUUACUGACGCUGAGACGCGAAAGCGUGGGGAGCAAACAGG